rnacentral:rRNA from 1 species
AUACGGAGGAUCCGAGCGUUAUCCGGAUUUAUUGGGUUUAAAGGGUGCGCAGGCGGCCAUUUAAGUCAGCGGUUAAAUCGUGGGGCUCAACCCCAUUCUGCCGUUGAUACUGGGUGGCUUGAUUGCGGUCGAGGUUGGCGGAAUUCGUUGUGUAGCGGUGAAAUGCAUAGAUAUGACGAAGAACACCGAUUGCGUAGGCAGCUGACCAGACCGCAAAUGACGCUCAUGCACGAAAGUGCGGGGAUCGAACAGGAUUAGAUCCCCUGGUAGUCCGCACAGUAAACGAUGAAUACUUGUUUUCGGCGAUAUAAUGUCGGAGGCAAAGCGAAAGCGAUAAGUAUUCCACCUGGGGAGUACGCCGGCAACGGUGAAACUCAAAGGAAUUGACGGGG